rnacentral:rRNA from 1 species
CAGCCGCCGCGGUAAUACGUAGGGUGCAAGCGUUAAUCGGAAUUACUGGGCGUAAAGCGUGCGCAGGCGGUUAUAUAAGACAGAUGUGAAAUCCCCGGGCUCAACCUGGGAACUGCAUUUGUGACUGUAUAGCUAGAGUACGGCAGAGGGGGAUGGAAUUCCGCGUGUAGCAGUGAAAUGCGUAGAUAUGCGGAGGAACACCGAUGGCGAAGGCAAUCCCCUGGGCCUGUACUGACGCUCAUGCACGAAAGCGUGGGGAGCAAACAGGAUUAGAUACCCCCGUAGUCUCUGUCUCUUAUAC